AGGGGCGGGGUUCCCAUGUUGCGCUAUGGAAAAAUCGAUAGGGGGAUAUACUGUAAUAACGUGUGUCACUGCUUCAAGAUGGAUAAUAAUGAGAAUAAGGCUGAAAAGGAAGCCAGGUGGACCGACCACCCAUUGAGCCAGUCAGCGGGGAGCCGGACUGACUGACACCCGGGGAGCGGACAGGGAAUGGAUGACAGUCGUUCGGCACGAGAGGAAAACAGGCUUGGGAUAAACACUCAACCUCCAGUUGUGCUAUGGGUGGGACUGGACGCCCGAGGCAGACCCAGGAGAGGACACAGUAUCCUAUUGUGUGUUACAAGGAAGUCUGCAGGACGCUGCGGAGAUCUAUUUCUUCAAAGCUCUUUGGAGAGGUAGCAGAAGCAAAUAGAUGGAAAAGAGGAUUGGGCCAAGUAGUGAUCUUUGGGGGACACCACAGGAGAUGGGGACUGAGGACCAAAAGGAGACACUGAAAGAUCUGUUGGAUAAAUAUGGAGACCAUCAGUUUAAGGCGGAGCUAGAGACCCACACCCAUUGGUUUAACCUGUGAAUGAGAAUAGAAAGAUCUACUGUGUCAAACCCUGCUGUUAGAUCUAGGAGCAGGAUGACAAUGCACUUUCUUGAGUCAGCAGCUAGAAGGAGGUCAUUAGUUAUUCUCAGUAAUGCAGAUUCAGUGCUGUGAAAAGCUCUGAAACCACGCGGCAAUUUUUCAAAAAUACUGUUUUGAGCCAGAUGGGACAACAGUUGGUUACAAACUAGUUUUUCAAGGAAUUUAGAAAGAAAGUGUAGAUAUUGGCGUGUAAUUACUGAGGACUGAAGGAUCUAGUUUCUGUUUCACUGGCUCUGGCUCUCAUUGACAACUAGAAAGGAAAGGGACACAGAUCUGGACUCAAAAAAACUGUAGCUACUUCACAAAAGGUUCUUGAUUUAUUACAUGAUGGACAUGUUUUGGCUUCUGCCGCUCUUAAUGUCAUUCAGUACACAGCUGUCAUAUAUACUGCAUAUUAUAACAAAAUUUUAGAUAAUUGGUAAGAUGAUUUGCAUGUGAAACACUAUUCUCGGGUCUUAGGUCUUCUCAGGUCUUGCUUGUUGAUAAAUGUGCUUGCUGAUCUGCUAAGUGGGUUGUCUUCAUCCAGUAGAGUCAGCUGUGCCUGUAGCCAAUAAUACAGUGUGGUUUCUGAUCAGCUGAGAAGGUUGUUCUUAGUCAUCAGUGCCAGCCACCUUGUUUGCCCAGGAGAUGCCAUAGACGCCGACUGAAUGUGCAGUGAAUACUGGUGGUAAGAUUUUAGAUGUAG